UUAAUCGAAGCAACGCGAAGAACCUUACCAGGUCUUGACAUCCCUGACAACCCGAGAGAUCGGGCGUUCCCCUUCGGGGGACAGGGUGACAGGUGGUGCAUGGUUGUCGUCAGCUCGUGUCGUGAGAUGUUGGGUUAAGUCCCGAAACACGAGCGCAACCCUCGACCUUAGUUGCCAGCAUUCAGUUGGGCACUCUAAGGUGACUGCCGGCUAAAAGUCGGAGGAAGGUGGGGAUGACGUCAAAUCAUCAUGCCCCUUAUGACCUGGGCUACACACGUGCUACAAUGGGCGGUACAAAGGGUCGCGAACCCGCGAGGGGGAGCCAAUCCCAAAAAGCCGCUCUCAGUUCGGAUUGCAGGCUGCAACUCGCCUGCAUGAAGCCGGAAUCGCUAGUAAUCGCGGAUCAGCAUGCCGCGGUGAAUACGUUCCCGGGCCUU
rnacentral:rRNA from 1 species